GAGGAUUCUUUCUUUUAAAAUGGAGUUUUUCCUUCCCACUGUUGCCAAAGCGCAUGCUCAUCAGAAAUCAUAUGAUUAUUGGGUUUUUUCUGUAUUUUUCUCUCAUCCACAUCAAAAGGAGCAGGUUAAAGUGGUUCUGGCAUCUGACAAGGACAGUUACGGAACCUUCAAGUAACUGCCAGAGGUUUCCUUACUACGGUUCGGGGCCGCGGAUCUGGCGUGGUAACACCGGCUUCUGCGAGUGUGACGCUUAUUUUGAGCGAUGAAAAAAUAAUAGAAUGUAAUGGGAAGUCUUUAGGACCCAGGGGACCCAAUGGAGGGUAUAAAAGAGGAAGUAGCAGCAGGUGCUCUUCAUUUCCACUGACGAGCGGCUGUGAACAAUGGUUGUGUGAGUAGGUGAAGAGCCUGAGAAGUUUUAAUUGUCUGCUACACAAACAGUUGUUGUAAACCUCUACAGCAGAGGUUCGAGUAGUGAUUUUCACAAGAUAAGCCAAGAUAAGCCAGGUGUGCAGCAAACACAGUUGUCUGCUGGAGGGCAGGCUGCACAUGUGAAUUUGUCGCUGUUUUUUUUCCCUCCUUCUCCUUGUUGUUGUGUUUUUGGUUUUGGUAGGGUCACCUUUUAAAACUGUUUUUUUUUAUGCCGGGUUUGUUUUUAUUUCUACUGGGCUGGUGCAAUAUUAGUCGGGCAAUGUGCAAUCCCUGAGUGGGACUCUUACCUUAGGGGAAUUAGGAUCUUUAGAGGUGCUCUGUGUGGAUUUGCAGUGAAUAAGUUUUUAUUAAGAGUGAUUUUUAGUGCCACCGAUUAUUGCCUGAACUAGCACUUAGUGCAUGCGAUAAGUGUUCUGUUGGGCUCGUAUUUAUUUGGGGUGGAUUUGUUUCUUUUAAAGCAACGAGCAUCUGGGACCGCCAAGGGAGAGCAAGCCCUCAGGUGAUAGUUGCAUUGCUGGCAGGUUGCACCAAUAACACUAUCUUGUGGUCGUUAGUGACCUUUUUACCAUUUUGAUGUUUUAGGCCUUUUGCAAACCCUUUGUGUUCUUUUAAAAUAAUAAAUUUUAACAGAUCUGACUGAUAUUGACCCUCUUGUCCUGUUUAUUCUGGGCUCG
ensembl:lncRNA